GGGGCAGCUGGCGGCGUGCUAUACAUGCAAGUCGAACGAACUCUGGUAUUGAUUGGUGCUUGCAUCAUGAUUUACAUUUGAGUGAGUGGCGAACUGGUGAGUAACACGUGGGAAACCUGCCCAGAAGCGGGGGAUAACACCUGGAAACAGAUGCUAAUACCGCAUAACAACUUGGACCGCAUGGUCCGAGUUUGAAAGAUGGCUUCGGCUAUCACUUUUGGAUGGUCCCGCGGCGUAUUAGCUAGAUGGUGGGGUAACGGCUCACCAUGGCAAUGAUACGUAGCCGACCUGAGAGGGUAAUCGGCCACAUUGGGACUGAGACACGGCCCAAACUCCUACGGGAGGCAGCAGUAGGGAAUCUUCCACAAUGGACGAAAGUCUGAUGGAGCAACGCCGCGUGAGUGAAGAAGGGUUUCGGCUCGUAAAACUCUGUUGUUAAAGAAGAACAUAUCUGAGAGUAACUGUUCAGGUAUUGACGGUAUUUAACCAGAAAGCCACGGCUAACUACGUGCCAGCAGCCGCGGUAAUACGUAGGUGGCAAGCGUUGUCCGGAUUUAUUGGGCGUAAAGCGAGCGCAGGCGGUUUUUUAAGUCUGAUGUGAAAGCCUUCGGCUCAACCGAAGAAGUGCAUCGGAAACUGGGAAACUUGAGUGCAGAAGAGGACAGUGGAACUCCAUGUGUAGCGGUGAAAUGCGUAGAUAUAUGGAAGAACACCAGUGGCGAAGGCGGCUGUCUGGUCUGUAACUGACGCUGAGGCUCGAAAGUAUGGGUAGCAAACAGGAUUAGAUACCCUGGUAGUCCAUACCGUAAACGAUGAAUGCUAAGUGUUGGAGGGUUUCCGCCCUUCAGUGCUGCAGCUAACGCAUUAAGCAUUCCGCCUGGGGAGUACGGCCGCAAGGCUGAAACUCAAAGGAAUUGACGGGGGCCCGCACAAGCGGUGGAGCAUGUGGUUUAAUUCGAAGCUACGCGAAGAACCUUACCAGGUCUUGACAUACUAUGCAAAUCUAAGAGAUUAG
rnacentral:rRNA from 2 species